rnacentral:rRNA from 1 species
UACGUAGGGGGCUAGCGUUGUCCGGAUUUAUUGGGCGUAAAGAGCGUGUAGGCGGCCAUGUAGGUCCGGUGUGAAAACUCGAGGCUUAACCUCGAGAUGUCAUCGGAAACCAUUUGGCUAGAGUCCGGAAGAGGAGAGUGGAAUUCCUGGUGUAGCGGUGAGAUGCGCAGAUAUCAGGAAGAACACCAAUGGCGAAAGCAGCUCUCCGGGACGGUACUGACGCUGAGACGCGAAAGCGUGGGGAGCGAACAGG